UGAACGCUGGCGGCGUGCCUAACACAUGCAAGUCGAACGAGAACGGAAUCUAGCUUGCUAGAUUUGUCAGCUAAGUGGCGCACGGGUGAGUAAUAUAUAGUUAAUCUGCCCCAAAGAAGAGAAUAAUUGUUGGAAACGACUUGUAAUGCUCUAUAUGCCUUUAUCACAAAAGUGAGCAAGGGAAACAUUUAUGGCUUUGGGAUGAGACUGUACGGUAUCAGCUAGUUGGUGAGGUAAUGGCUCACCAAGGCAAUGACAUCUAACUGGUUUGAGAGGAUGAUCAGUCACACUGGAACUGAGACACGGUCCAGACUCCUACGGGAGGCAGCAGUGGGGAAUAUUGCACAAUGGAGGAAACUCUGAUGCAGCAACGCCGCGUGGAGGAUGACACAUUUCGGUGCGUAAACUCCUUUUAUUAGGGAAGAUAAUGACGGUACCUAAUGAAUAAGCACCGGCUAACUCC
rnacentral:rRNA from 1 species